UGCAAGUCGAACGAGUUCUGAUUAUUGAAAGGUGCUUGCAUCUUGAUUUAAUUUUGAACGAGUGGCGGACGGGUGAGUAACACGUGGGUAACCUGCCCUUAAGUGGGGGAUAACAUUUGGAAACAGAUGCUAAUACCGCAUAAAUCCAAGAACCGCAUGGUUCUUGGCUGAAAGAUGGCGUAAGCUAUCGCUUUUGGAUGGACCCGCGGCGUAUUAGCUAGUUGGUGAGGUAACGGCUCACCAAGGCAAUGAUACGUAGCCGAACUGAGAGGUUGAUCGGCCACAUUGGGACUGAGACACGGCCCAAACUCCUACGGGAGGCAGCAGUAGGGAAUCUUCCACAAUGGACGCAAGUCUGAUGGAGCAACGCCGCGUGAGUGAAGAAGGCUUUCGGGUCGUAAAACUCUGUUGUUGGAGAAGAAUGGUCGGCAGAGUAACUGUUGUCGGCGUGACGGUAUCCAACCAGAAAGCCACGGCUAACUACGUGCCAGCAGCCGCGGUAAUACGUAGGUGGCAAGCGUUAUCCGGAUUUAUUGGGCGUAAAGCGAGCGCAGGCGGUUUUUUAAGUCUGAUGUGAAAGCCCUCGGCUUAACCGAGGAAGUGCAUCGGAAACUGGGAAACUUGAGUGCAGAAGAGGACAGUGGAACUCCAUGUGUAGCGGUGAAAUGCGUAGAUAUAUGGAAGAACACCAGUGGCGAAGGCGGCUGUCUGGUCUGUAACUGACGCUGAGGCUCGAAAGCAUGGGUAGCGAACAGGAUUAGAUACCCUGGUAGUCCAUGCCGUAAACGAUGAAUGCUAGGUGUUGGAGGGUUUCCGCCCUUCAGUGCCGCAGCUAACGCAUUAAGCAUUCCGCCUGGGGAGUACGACCGCAAGGUUGAAACUCAAAGGAAUUGACGGGGGCCCGCACAAGCGGUGGAGCAUGUGGUUUAAUUCGAAGCAACGCGAAGAACCUUACCAGGUCUUGACAUCUUUUGAUCACCUGAGAGAUCAGGUUUCCCCUUCGGGGGCAAAAUGACAGGUGGUGCAUGGUUGUCGUCAGCUCGUGUCGUGAGAUGUUGGGUUAAGUCCCGCAACGAGCGCAACCCUUAUGACUAGUUGCCAGCAUUUAGUUGGGCACUCUAGUAAGACUGCCGGUGACAAACCGGAGGAAGGUGGGGAUGACGUCAAAUCAUCAUGCCCCUUAUGACCUGGGCUACACACGUGCUACAAUGGAUGGUACAACGAGUUGCGAGACCGCGAGGUCAAGCUAAUCUCUUAAAGCCAUUCUCAGUUCGGACUGUAGGCUGCAACUCGCCUACACGAAGUCGGAAUCGCUAGUAAUCGCGGAUCAGCACGCCGCGGUGAAUACGUUCCCGGGCCUUGUACACACCGCCCGUCACACCAUGAGAGUUUGUAACACCCGAAGCCGGUGGCGUAACCCUUUUAGGGAGCGAGCCGUCUAAGGUGGGACAAAUGAUUAG
rnacentral:rRNA from 1 species